GGGUUGUGAGGUUAAGCGACUAAGCGUACACGGUGGAUGCCCUGGCAGUCAGAGGCGAUGAAGGGCGUGCUAAUCUGCGAUAAGCGCCGGUAAGGUGAUAUGAACCGUUAUAACCGGCGAUACCCGAAUGGGGAAACCCAGUGUGAUUCGUCACACUAUCAUUAACUGAAUCCAUAGGUUAAUGAGGCGAACCGGGGGAACUGAAACAUCUAAGUACCCUGAGGAAAAGAAAUCAACCGAGAUUCCCCCAGUAGCGGCGAGCGAACGGGGAGGAGCCCAGAGCCUGAAUCAGCAUGUGUGUUAGUGGAAGCGUCUGGAAAGGCGCGCGAUACAGGGUGACAGCCCCGUACACAAAAGUGCAUGUGCUGUGAGCUCGAUGAGUAGGGCGGGACACGUGGUAUCCUGUCUGAAUAUGGGGGGACCAUCCUCCAAGGCUAAAUACUCCUGACUGACCGAUAGUGAACCAGUACCGUGAGGGAAAGGCGAAAAGAACCCCGGCGAGGGGAGUGAAAAAGAACCUGAAACCGUGUACGUACAAGCAGUGGGAGCACAGGUUUACCUGUGUGACUGCGUACCUUUUGUAUAAUGGGUCAGCGACUUAUAUUCUGUAGCAAGGUUAACCGUAUAGGGGAGCCGUAGGGAAACCGAGUCUUAACCGGGCGUUAAGUUGCAGGGUAUAGACCCGAAACCCGGUGAUCUAGCCAUGGGCAGGUUGAAGGUUGGGUAACACUAACUGGAGGACCGAACCGACUAAUGUUGAAAAAUUAGCGGAUGACCUGUGGCUGGGGGUGAAAGGCCAAUCAAACCGGGAGAUAGCUGGUUCUCCCCGAAAGCUAUUUAGGUAGCGCCUCGUGAACUCAUCUCCGGGGGUAGAGCACUGUUUCGGCUAGGGGGCC
rnacentral:rRNA from 1 species